CUCUCCAUUACCAUUACAGAGCUCUGCAAAACUUGAGAUUCACUGAAGAAGAAGAGAUUUCGAAUGAGAUACAUCGCAAGCAGAUCCUUAUAAGAUUAUAUAGUUAGUGUGUAUGGUUUGUUAAUUCUCGUACGGUGAUUUUGUGAAGAUUUUGGCGCUAAGACUAGCAUCUGAUUGUUUAAUACAGUGGUUUUUUUAUAAGAGAUUAACACAAUGUUUGCAGACGAGGUUGGUAAUCACAUUGUUGAAACUUUAAUUUUUACUAUUUUGUGGAUUUUUUUCAUAAACCCUAAUUAGAGAAAAUUGGGGAUUUUCCUACACCGUUGAUGCUUGUGUUUUACUAAUUAAUUAUCUAAUUAUGUUAUGAAUUACAUGAAUUCGAUGAAUGGGUUAGAACUGGAAGUUGGGGUUUUGAAGCUGUAUGUAGAGAAAGUGCAGGGAAACAAUUGGUCUGGUGGUAUCUGUGAUGGAGAUGGAGUUGUGUUAUACAGUGGUUUAAUUAUGAAUCUGGUGAUGGAGAUGGAGAUGGAGAUGGAGUUGCAAUACAGGAGAUGAAGGUGAAGCGACAUGAAACGGUUCUGGAUAGCGUUUAUGGAAUUGAUUUGAUGUUCUUGUUGGUGAUUACUGUUUGAAAAGUUGUUUGAAUGGCUUGAAGCAGAGUGGUGAUCUGGUGAAUGGAUAUGGACUAGUGGUGAUUUUGCAAUGAAGAGGAGAUGCAGAUGGUUUUGUUUGGUUGCAGCUGCAAUUCAAGUUGAUGGUGGUUGCAAAAAUGAUAUGAUGAUGUGUUUGUUGUUGCAGUGCAGGUUACAGGGACUAGAUGAAUGUUUAGGUUUACAGUGAAUGGGUUGCUCUCUAAUUUGAAUUUCAGUUAAUGGGUUGAUCUCUGCGCAAUAGGUUGCUGGUGAAAAUGGCCAGAGCACACAUCUGGUGAGACCACAUUGAGGAGUGUAAGAGAAUUUCAGGAGUUCGUUGUUAACAGGACAUAGGGGAACGAUGAUGAUAGCAAUGUUGAUGAUGCCAGGAGGUUGGUCGAGAAUAUGGAGAAAAGCAUAAAAAAAGAGAAUCAGAUUUAUGGCGAGCUGAGGAAGGAAACAAGUAUGGAAAUGUCAGCCACCACCAUUGUUUUUCCCAAACCAGUUUGCAUAUCCCCUAGCAUAUCCUUACCACCAUUCCAGUGCAUAUCCUCCCACCAGUUCACAUCAGUUUCAGAACUUGAUAAACGUUCACAUCAUCACCAGCUUGCAGCAAACUGUACAACACUAUGAACGACUUGGUGGCCAAGCCACGCCAGAGUUGGACCCCGUCAGAGGAUGCCACAUGUCAGUGGUACACGUCAAUAGAUGCCACAUGUGAUAGUUUAACCAAGGUUAAUAGUAGUUGGAGUUAAAGAGAGGGUAUUUUGGUGAUAACUAACACUGUUUUUUGCCAAAUAGUUAUUUCGGACAGAACAUGACUAUUUUGUAAACGAAUUUCAAAAGUUAGAUCAUUUUGUAACCGAAUUUCAAAAAGUAUGACCAUUUUGUAAUUAGCCCAUUUUUAAACUUUUAUCUAUUAAGGCUAAGAGGAGAGAGAAAUUAGUAGAGAAAAUAAAGAAGAUAAAGAAAACCAGAAAAAU